UACGGAGGGUGCGAGCGUUAUCCGGAAUUACUGGGUUUAAAGGGUGCGUAGGCGGCUAUGUAAGUCAGGAGUGAAAGUUUGCGGCUCAACCGUAAAAUUGCUUUUGAUACUGCACGGCUAGAAUUAGGAUGAGGUCAGCGGAAUGUGGCAUGUAGCGGUGAAAUGCAUAGAUAUGCCAUAGAACACCAAUUGCGAAGGCAGCUGGCUAGACCUGGAUUGACGCUGAGGCACGAAAGCGUGGGGAGCGAACAGG
rnacentral:rRNA from 1 species